rnacentral:ncRNA from 1 species
GCAGAGUAAGCGGUUUGCGUAAAGUGCUAAGGGAUGGGACGUUGCCCUUAGACGAAGAGCUUCAAGUAGUUUGCGAUAAACCGUUGCGUUCGCUG